CUCCCUACGGGACGCAGCAGUGGGGAAUAUUGCACAAUGGGGGGAACCCUGAUGCAGCGACGCCGCGUGGGUGAAGGAGUAUUUCGGUAUGUAAAGCCCUGUCAGCAGGGAAGAAAAUGACGGUACCUGAAGAAGAAGCCCCGGCUAACUACGUGCCAGCAGCCGCGGUAAUACGUAGGGGGCAAGCGUUAUCCGGAUUUACUGGGUGUAAAGGGGGCGCAGACGGCGAUGCAAGCCAGGAGUGAAAGCCCGGGGCCCAACCCCGGGACUGCUCUUGGAACUGCGUGGCUGGAGUGCAGGAGGGG
rnacentral:rRNA from 1 species